ACAGUGGAACUUGUCUGUUUGGUUCAGACACAGACAUUUGGAGCAAAACUCCCAAUUACAGUACAGUGGCGCUGGGAGCUACAUCUUUUCAUUGCUCAUCUUUCCCCCCUUGAAAUAAAUGGAAAUGCCAUUCAUCCGUUCAAUUUGCGUUUUUGUUCUUUAAUAAUCACUAUAACAUGGUACGUUAUAGGAGCAGAGUACUAACUUCAUUAGAUACAAUGUAAAGCAUGAAACACUUUGUGAAUCUAAUUCCAUGCUGCAAUCCAAUGAACUGUGCUGCUCCUUCUGUUGCCACCGGGAGGCAGUAGCUACUGUAUAAAACAGUCCUGAAGACACCAACCAAGAAAAGACUACUACCUCUACGGAUCAGCGCGUUGCCGGAAUAUUAGAGAUUUUUCGUAGAGGAUAAAUAAUUGAUGCCUCGGGACCUGUGGGUGAGGAGCGCGAAUGAAGACCACCCCCACCAAAGACAAAAUCUGCAAGACAUCGCGAAUAAUGUACGAUAAAUGCGGUGAAGCCGCAAAAGGUGAACUGCGAUAUAGCGAGGGACGAAUGGACGGAAGAAGAUGGCAAGACUGCCUGCUGGCGUAGUAAAGGGAUUGACUGCAACUAAUCCACCAUCAUCAUCUGGUUUGUGGAAGACAUUUUCUCACAGAGAGCCAAAAUGGGAAUUGCCGUUGCCAAAGGAAUGGCUAAAAGCUCAAAUGAAAAGGUUUUGAGUGGUCCACCCAACUCUUCAUUCUGACAACCUCAUCACUCACCGAGACAGGCCGAGCCAUCGGGAGCAACUUCAUGUCCCACGGGGCACACGCACUGGAAGCUGCCUUCGUUGUUGACGCAGUCGCCUCCCCGGCACAGCAGAGGAUUGCGUUCGCACUCAUCGAUGUCUGAUGGGGAAGAAGAAACACUUGGCAAUGCUGUACAUGUGAAAAAACCUGUCUGACUUGAUGUGACCUUAGUGACUAGGAAUGACUUAUUCAAAUAAAGUCAUUCAUUAAAGGAGGCAUAAAUCAUGAUCUGGCUUCCUUUGUGAACUCAACCUUUUUUUUUUUCCUACUGUGUUGCCAAUCGUGGGCUUACAUCCUAAGCCAACAAAAGCACUAACGCUCACCAUUUUGUGAGCACUCAAGAAUUUUAAUCAGGUUGGCCAAAUGUAAUUCAGAACAGAAAUAGAGCAAUAAGUAUUUUCUCAGAUGCUAAGACUGGAAGCUGUACGUUAAUUCAUUUUUAUGGCAGGGUCCGUGUGCAUUAUUAUGCAUUGAGUUCAAGUAUGUAAUAAAGGGCAAUUAUCUUUAUGGUGCCAUGAAAAAAACGAUUGACUGAUGGGCUGCGCAGGCUGUGUGCCGCACGGAGGUUUACAUUAAGAUUACAUCAGCCAAAAAAAAAAAAAAAAAAAAAAGAUUACAUCAGCUAUAUAAACAGUAAGUUCCAGGUCUGACAUGUUAGUAGAGCAUGAACAUACCACGAGGCAAACACGGGCAAAAAGAUUUCCAGGUGCCCCAAACGUCUCAUUAAAAGCUGAUGAAUAAAGUUUUCUUCAAUUGAAAGCAUUUCAAGCAAAGUCGCACGCCUUAAAACACAAAAUUCUAAAUCUAUCAUGAUCGUUUCGAGGAGUCUCCUCUGACUUCUCAUGCAAUGGACUAUUCCAUCUUUUUGCUGCACAUGAGCGGAGUUAUCCCAGUGGCGCGGCGGUGAAGAGGAGCAUGCGAGAUGACCACAAACAGUCCUUAUCAAAACCACCAAAGGCUUCAACUUUUUCAUGCUGACACCAAACGUGCAUAACCGACAACAGCAAGCGCCAGACGCUCUUUCCGGUUCCAGCAGCACAGCAUUCAGCAGAGAUGUAGAAGAGAGUGACAC